rnacentral:rRNA from 1 species
CGUAGGCGGCUUGACAAGUCAAAGGUGAAAUCCCUCGGCUCAACUGAGGAACUGCCUUUGAAACUGUCUGGCUUGAGGCCGGGGAGGGGGUAGCGGAAUUCCCAGUGUAGCGGUGAAAUGCGUAGAUAUUGGGAGGAACACCAGUGGCGAAGGCGGCUACCUGGACCGGUUCUGACGCUGAUGCGCGAAAGCGUGGGUAGCAAACA